ensembl:snoRNA
AACCUUAAUGUUGCCUGUUCACUUUUGGAAGCUAGUGAAUAUGGUAUCAAAAGAGGCAUCAAUAAAUGCUUUGCAGCCUUUUCCUGCCCUUAAAUUUGGUAUCUUUGGUGUAGGAGCUGCAUAAGCAAUAGUU